rnacentral:rRNA from 1 species
UACGAAGGGGGCUAGCGUUGCUCGGAAUUACUGGGCGUAAAGGGCGCGUAGGCGGCACUGUUAGUCAGGCGUGAAAGUCCUGGGCUCAACCUGGGAACUGCGCUUGAUACGGCAGAGCUAGAGGAUGGAAGAGGCUCGCGGAAUUCCCAGUGUAGAGGUGAAAUUCGUAGAUAUUGGGAAGAACACCAGUGGCGAAGGCGACUACCUGGCCUGUUCUUGACGCUGAGGCGCGAAAGCUAGGGGAGCAAACGGG